rnacentral:tRNA from 1 species
GGGAGUGUGGCUUGAUGGUAGAGCACUUGCCUAGUAUGCAGGAGGCCCUGGCCUCAAGCACCAGUAAAGCCA